UAUUGCUACUUAUGCCUGCACCUGAGCCCAGGCACACAUCUGGAUUAGAAGAUGCCAGGCUCAGAGGAUCUUCCUAAAGGCAAGGACCAGAUGCAUUCACACAGGAAAUGAACUGUGUUCACUGAGAAGCAACUGGAAGAUCUGAACAUCUUGUUCAAUGAGAACCCAUACCCAAACCCCUGCCCUCAGAAAUAAAUGGCCUCGAAAAUAGACAUACACCCAACAAUACUCCAGGUCUGGUUCAAGAACCACAGAGCAAAACUCAAGAAAGCCAAAUAAAAGCAUAUUCAGCAAAAACAAGAAACUCCACAACCGCCAAUACCGGAGGGUGGAGUCACCACCAGUGUCGGCCUGAGAAAUGCAGACACACUACCCAGAUUGCCCAACACUGCUCACCUGAUUGGCCUGGUGUACAUGGGUCAUCGGGUACCCUCUUUCCAGCUCAUCCUGUACCCCAACAUCAAGGUCCCUGCAGAUGACUUCGUUGGCCACAGAAUAGUCCAUUUUGGCUGCUGCCAAGCUCCUAACGUAUAUGGCUUCUACCCCAUUUUGGAAUCCCAAGUUUGGGCUCCAAGCUUCAAUUCUGACUCUUCUGCCUGUUCAUCUCUACAAAGUUGAGAGAUGAUAAAUACAAAAAGUCACAUGUAAAAAAAAAUAAAUACUAA
rnacentral:lncRNA from 1 species